rnacentral:rRNA from 1 species
ACUCGAGUGGCGAACGGGUGAGUAACACGUGGGUGAUCUGCCCUGCACUCUGGGAUAAGCUUGGGAAACUGGGUCUAAUACCGGAUAGGAACCGUCUUUAGUGUGGUGGUUGGAAAGUUUUUUCGGUGCAAGAUGAGCUCGCGGCCUAUCAGCUUGUUGGUGGGGUAAUGGCCUACCAAGGCGCGACGGGUAGCCGGCCUGAGAGGGUGUACGGCCACAUUGGGACUGAGAUACGGCCCAG